rnacentral:rRNA from 1 species
UACGUAGGGCGCAAGCGUUGUCCGGAAUUAUUGGGCGUAAAGAGCUCGUAGGCGGUUUGUCGCGUCUGCUGUGAAAACCUAAGGCUCAACCUUGGGCUUGCAGUGGGUACGGGCAGACUAGAGUGCGGUAGGGGUGACUGGAAUUCCUGGUGUAGCGGUGGAAUGCGCAGAUAUCAGGAGGAACACCGAUGGCGAAGGCAGGUCACUGGGCCGCAACUGACGCUGAGGAGCGAAAGCGUGGGUAGCGAACAGG